ACCAGACUCCUACGGGAGGCAGCAGUGAGGAAUAUUGGUCAAUGGGCGCGAGCCUGAACCAGCCAAGUCGCGUGAGGGAAGACGGUCCUAUGGAUUGUAAACCUCUUUUGUCGGGGAGCAAAAGACGCCACGUGUGGCGUUCCGAGAGUACCCGAAGAAAAAGCAUCGGCUAACUCCGUGCCAGCAGCCGCGGUAAUACGGAGGAUGCGAGCGUUAUCCGGAUUUAUUGGGUUUAAAGGGUGCGUAGGCGGACGCUUAAGUCAGGGGUAAAAUUGGGGGGCCCAACCCCGUCGAGCCGUUGAAACUGGGUGCCUUGAGUGGGCGAGAAGUACGCGGAAUGCGUGGUGUAGCGGUGAAAUGCAUAGAUAUCACGCAGAACUCCGAUUGCGAAGGCAGCGUACCGGCGCCCAACUGACGCUGAAGCACGAAGGCGUGGGUAUCGAACAGGAUUAGAUACCCCCGUA
rnacentral:rRNA from 1 species